rnacentral:rRNA from 1 species
GACGAACGCUGGCGGCGUGCUUAACACAUGCAAGUCGAACGGAAAGGCUCCAGCUUGCUGGAGUACUCGAGUGGCGAACGGGUGAGUAACACGUGGGUGAUCUGCCCUGCACUUCGGGAUAAGCCUGGGAAACUGGGUCUAAUACCAGAUAGGACCGCACUUUGGUGUGUGUGGUGGAAAGGUUUUUCUGGUGUGGGAUGAGCUCGCGGCCUAUCAGUUUGUUGGUGGGGUAAUGGCCUACCAAGACGGCGACGGGUAGCCGGCCUGAGAGGGUGGACGGUCACAUUGGGACUGAGAUACGGCCCAGACUCCUACGGGAGGCAGCAGUGGGGAAUAUUGCACAAUGGGGGAAACCCUGAUGCAGCGACGCCGCGUGGGGGAUGAAGGCCUUCGGGUUGUAAACUCCUUUCGCUAGGGACGAAGCUUUUUGUGACGGUACCUGGAGAAGAAGCACCGGCUAACUACGUG